rnacentral:lncRNA from 1 species
UCAUAUUUUCAAAUUUAAAAUUGUAAAUAGACAUUUGUAACUAUUUGUUAAGCUUUGACAUUAAAUAAACCAAGCAAAAUGGUUAACCAAUCAACAUAUAGCCCCCAAAUGGGUAAUUAAUGAAAUACAAUUAAAACUGAGUGACAUUUACUUUACAUUUCAAGAGAGUCAAAUUAUGCUCACAAAACUUAAAGAGGAGUUUCCGGGAUCCUGCAGGCUUAACAAACAAGUCUAGACACUUGCUAAACACCCAUCAAAGAGCUUCCUUCCAGAACAUCUGCUUCAAGACUGGAAUGACAGUUGAAUGUGUUCUGAAUGAGACAGCAGCCCAUUUAUUGGCCCUUUGUGUAUGAGUUAGAGAUUCAAAUGACCUUUGUUAAACAACAAAGUGUCGAAAUCCAUUGAUCAAUACAGUCACUUCCAAUUUCGUGUAUAAGUCUUAGCAAAUCCGGAAAGUGUUUUAACAAUAUUUUUGUAGUAACAGUGAAAUUGAACGUUUGAUCUAUCGAUCUUAAAUAUAAGAAUUUGUUUUACAUGCCGCACACAAUUUCUUGCAUUAGCAAAACAAGGGGUGCCAAAUGUUGAACAAGGUCGCAUUACCCUUCUCGCGCACUUGAGAUUGACUCAGAUUCUUGAUUGAACUUGUUUAAUUUGCUAAAUAUUUAGUUUUCUAUGUGUUGUUUUAUAGACUGUUGUUCGUCAUUUUGUCCCUUUUUUGUCGAUUCUUCGACUUUAGUUGAAGAAGUGAGACAUAGCGAUCCUACUUCAUCGGCUUCGUCGUCAUCGUCGGCGGCGACGUCUACAAAUGUUCAGUAUGUGGUUAAAGUUUUUGAAUAACUUUCUGAAACUAUCAUGUACUUCUACCAAACUUGGACAGAAGCCUGUUUAUAUUCAUCAGAUAGUAUCCAGUAGUAAAUUGUUUUUCCGUAUUUUACUUAUAAGUGGACUUAGUUUUUCUACCAGGAAACAUUACAUUCACUCUGUGGUUAAAGUUUUAAAAGUUAAUAACUUCCUUAAACUAUCAUAGAUUUGUACCAAACAUGGACGGAAGCUUUUUUGUGAUCAUAAGAUAAUAAGAUAGUAUCAAGAAGUAAAUUUUGUAAAAAAAUAAAAUUCCAUUAUUUCGUAUUUUACUUAUAAAUGGACCUAGUUUUUCUGCCAGGAAACAUUACAUUGAAUUUCACUCUGUGGUUAAAGUAUUAAAAGUUAAUAACAUUCUUAUACUAUCCUGGAUUUAUGCCAAACUUGGACAAAAGCUUG